UCUGGAGACAGCGCCCGACUGGGCUCAUUCGUUGGGACACCUUUGCCUGACGAACAUGUUCUCCUGUUGUGUGCCCGUGUCCCGCGGCUGCCGGCUCGGGGGAGCCCGUGGCCGCGACCCUUCCCGACCUGGGAGACAGUGGGUCUGGUCGUGCACAGGACAAUCAGUCUUUAGCUCGCAGGGACCCAAAGAAAUCAACGGAUGAAAUCGGGAAACGAUUGGCGGAAUCUGGAUUCACCCGCCCUACAGAGUUGUGUGUGAGCCCCGUUGCCCAGGAGGGCCACCCUGGACCCGUGGAGAGAGUGGUCGCACGCAGGUCACCGGAAGCAGGGCCUGGAGUUGGCCUGGGAAGGCCUCCUCCAGCGCCCCGGCCCCGCUGUAAGGUCUUCGUUCAUCGGUCCUGGGACCAGUAUUUGGAGUCCCCGGAGUCAGAGCCCGAGGAGUCCGCUGCAGGAGCAAAAGCCGGGUCGGCUCCAGAGCCCGGCCCAAAGGCAUCAGGGACCUCGGCGUCUCUGUAGGCAGGCGAUGUAUUUGGAGCGACUCCUGCAGGGGCCCGGGAGCCAGCAGGUGACCUGGGACCUUUGCGGGGACAGUGGGCACCUGAGCAGAGUCAGCUGGGUCCUGCUUCUGCCGGUUCCACUGUUCCCGCUUUUGCUCCCAACAGUGCUCCUGCCAUCGCCCUUCUCCCCGCCCCUGCCCCUGCCCUUGAUCCCACAUGCAUGUUGGCCAAAAAUCAAGGGCUUGACGACCGAU